GAUGAACGCUAGCGGCAGGCCUAAUACAUGCAAGUCGAACGGGAUCUGAGGGUAGCUUGCUACCCGAUUUGAGAGUGGCGCACGGGUGCGUAACGCGUGAGCAACCUACCCAUAUCAGGGGGAUAGCCCGAAGAAAUUCGGAUUAACACCGCAUAAUAAUACGCUAAAACAUGUUGAUGUAUUUAAAUAUUUAUAGGAUAUGGAUGGGCUCGCGUGACAUUAGCUAGUUGGUAAGGUAACGGCUUACCAAGGCGACGAUGUCUAGGGGCUCUGAGAGGAGAAUCCCCCACACUGGUACUGAGACACGGACCAGACUCCUACGGGAGGCAGCAGUAAGGAAUAUUGGUCAAUGGGCGCAAGCCUGAACCAGCCAUGCCGCGUGCAGGAUGACUGCCCUAUGGGUUGUAAACUGCUUUUGUUAGGAAAUAAACCUUCUUACGUGUAAGGAGCUGAAUGUACCUAAAGAAUAAGGAUCGGCUAACUCCGUGCCAGCAGCCGCCGUAAGAC
rnacentral:rRNA from 1 species